CCGCGCUUUUUUUCUAGUGCGCUCUUUCCUUUUGCUGUGAUUCAGGGCUGAGGACGGCUGCCCCCUUCUCUGCCCCGAACCUGAUCGAGGAGGUCGUCACCUCUUCCUCCGCUGCUGUCUUCGCCACCUCAUCCUUUCUUUGAAUGGGGCCAACUGUUUGCUGAAGUGUGACGUGUGAAGAUGUCAGAGGAAAUGAGCUUAAGCGUCUCAGGAGCUUCAAUUCAGGUGAGAAAUCUUGGACUCUUUGCAACUAAAUACCAUCCAAGGUCACACAACAGUGAGGUAGUGGGAGGAUCACAAAACCAUGCUACUUUCCCUUUUCAUUUUUUGGGUA